rnacentral:rRNA from 1 species
UACAGAGGUCUCAAGCGUUGUUCGGAUUUAUUGGGCGUAAAGAUCGUGUAGGCGGCCAGAUAGGUCUGCUGUGAAAACUCGAGGCUCAACCUCGAGAUGUCGGCGGAAACCAUUUGGCUAGAGUCCGGAAGAGGAAAGUGGAAUUCCUGGUGUAGCGGUGAAAUGCGCAGAUAUCAGGAGGAACACCAAUUGCGAAGGCAGCUCGCUGGGACGUGACUGACGCUGAGACGCGAAAGCGUGGGGAGCAAACAGG